UCAUCAGCUCGCGUUGAAUAAGUCCCUUGCCCUUUGUACACACCGCCCGUCGCUCCUACCGAUUGAAUGGUCCGGUGAAGUGUUCGGAUCGCGGCGACGUGGGCGGUUCGCUGCUGGCGACGUCGCGAGAAGUCCACUGAACCUUAUCAUUUAGAGGAAGGAGAAGUCGUAACAAGGUUUCCGUAGGUGAACCUGCGGAAGGAUCAUUGUCAAAACCUCACAAACCAAACCACCUGCGA
rnacentral:rRNA from 1 species